GCCAGACUCCUACGGGAGGCAGCAGUGGGGAAUAUUGCACAAUGGGGGAAACCCUGAUGCAGCGACGCCGCGUGAGUGAAGAAGUAUUUCGGUAUGUAAAGCUCUAUCAGCAGGAACGAGACAAGACGGUACCUGACUAAGAAGCCCCGGCUAACUACGUGCCAGCAGCCGCGGUAAUACGUAGGGGGCAAGCGUUAUCCGGAAUCACCGGGUGUAAAGGGAGCGUAGACGGCUGUGCAAGCCUGAAGUGAAAGGCGGGGGCCCAACCCCCGGACUGCUUUGGGAACUGUACGGCUGGAGUGCAGGAGAGGUAAGUGGAAUUCCUAGUGUAGCGGUGAAAUGCGUAGAUAUUAGGAGGAACACCAGUGGCGAAGGCGGCUUACUGGACUGUAACUGACGUUGAGGCUCGAAAGCGUGGGGAGCAAACAGGAUUAGAUACCCCAGUAC
rnacentral:rRNA from 1 species